rnacentral:rRNA from 1 species
GGCGGCAUGCCUUACACAUGCAAGUCGAACGGCAGCACGGGAGCAAUCCUGGGUGGCGAGUGGCGAACGGGUGAGUAAUAUAUCGGAACGUGCCCGGUCGGGGGGGAUAACGUAGCGAAAGCUACGCUAAUACCGCAUACGAUCUACGGAUGAAAGCGGGGGAUCGCAAGACCUCGCGCGAUUGGAGCGGCCGAUAUCAGAUUAGGUAGUUGGUGAGGUAAAGGCUCACCAAGCCGACGAUCUGUAGCUGGGUCUGAGAGGACGACCAGCCACACUGGGACUGAGACACGGCCCAGACUCCUACGGGAGGCAGCAGUGGGAAAUUUUGGACAAUGGGCGCAAGCCUGAUCCAGCAAUGCCGCGUGCAGGAUGAAGGCCUUCGGGUUGUAAACUGCUUUUGUACGGAACGAAACGGUGAGCUCUAAUACAGUUUGCUAAUGACGGUACCGUAAGAAUAAGCACCGGCUAACUACGUG